CAGCAGUCGCCGCGGGAAUACGUAGGUGGCAAGCGUUGUCCGGAAUUAUUGGGCGUAAAGGGCUCGCAGGCGGUUUCUUAAGUCUGAUGUGAAAGCCCCCGGCUCAACCGGGGAGGGUCAUUGGAAACUGGGAAACUUGAGUGCAGAAGAGGAGAGUGGAAUUCCACGUGUAGCGGUGAAAUGCGUAGAGAUGUGGAGGAACACCAGUGGCGAAGGCGACUCUCUGGUCUGUAACUGACGCUGAGGAGCGAAAGCGUGGGGAGCGAACAGGAUUAGAUACCCCCGUAGUCCCUGUCUCUUAUAC
rnacentral:rRNA from 1 species